GUUGGUAGAAGGGUUUUGUUUGAUGGGUCUGUUUGUAAUGGGUGAGGUCCAGCUUUCAGCAGCGCCACUCUCCACUACAUCAGUGGAGCACUGGGACCCAGAGGUAUUGAGCUGCCAAAGGUCACAGAGGUUGCAUUGAAGUUGAGAGCUGAACUUGUGCUCCUAUGUCCUGAUCAAGCAGAGCUCCAAGAUGGAGUUUAAAACUAUGCUUGGAUUAGAAGAAAAGGAGAAAAAAAAAUAUGAGAAGAAGGAGGAAAAAAAAAGAAAAGGAAUUUGGCAAGUGACUAAUCCACAAUAUUGUCUAAUUUGGCAUAUGGAGAAACACCCCCCCAAGGUAUCUAAUACUGAGAUGUUUCAGCUCUGCUUUGCAUUGCCCACUCUUACUCUGCAUACUCUAAAUAUGUAUUAAGUCAGUCGAGCAUGGCAGCUGCUGAAGGAGUUGCCACAGCUUACUGGGUAAAUAAUGAUCAUUUUAUAAAUCACCUAAAUGCGUAUCUACCCCAAAGACUAUGGCGGUGGCUUAUGGGAAUGCUGAUUUGCAUUUUUAAAAUUUGCUUGGAUGUAUUUGCAAUUGCUGUGCCUCCCUCUGAUUGCUGCAUGCUCUAGUUUUAAGUUUAGGGCCCAAUUCUGCUUUCAGUUAUGAAUGGAUGAAUCUGGAGUGUCAUCACUGAAAUGAGCAACACAAAGUCAAACUGAGGAACUAGUCCGCUUGAUGAGAUUCCACUAGGAAUACCCUGUGAACACAAUUUGGCACUGACAUCUCUUGGUGAUUUUGCAUGGGGAAUAACUUCAUAAAUAAAACCUUGAGAACUGAGAAGCA
rnacentral:lncRNA from 1 species